CACGGGAGGCAGCAGUGAGGAAUAUUGGUCAAUGGGCGCGAGCCUGAACCAGCCAAGUCGCGUGAGGGAUGACGGUCCUACGGAUUGUAAACCUCUUUUGCCGGGGAGCAAGCGUGCGUUCGUGAACGCGCGUCGAGAGUACCCGGAGAAAAAGCAUCGGCUAACUCCGUGCCAGCAGCCGCGGUAAUACGGAGGAUGCGAGCGUUAUCCGGAUUUAUUGGGUUUAAAGGGUGCGCAGGCGGGCUGUUAAGCCGGCGGUAAAAAUUCAGGGCUCAACCCUGUCGAGCCGUCGGAACUGGCAGCCUUGAGUGGGCGAGAAGUAUGCGGAAUGCGUGGUGUAGCGGUGAAAUGCAUAGAUAUCACGCAGAACGCCGAUUGCGAAGGCAGCAUACCGGCGCCCGACUGACGCUGAGGCACGAAAGCGUGGGGAUCGAACAGGAUUAGAUACCCCUGUAGUC
rnacentral:rRNA from 1 species